rnacentral:rRNA from 1 species
ACGGCUCACCAAGGCAACGAUGCGUAGCCGACCUGAGAGGGUGAUCGGCCACACUGGGACUGAGACACGGCCCAGACUCCUACGGGAGGCAGCAGUAGGGAAUCUUCCGCAAUGGACGAAAGUCUGACGGAGCAACGCCGCGUGAGUGAUGAAGGCUUUCGGGUCGUAAAACUCUGUUGUUAGGGAAGAACAAGUGCUAGUUGAAUAAGCUGGCACCUUGACGGUACCUAACCAGAAAGCCACGGCUAACUACGUGCCAGCAGCCGCGGUAAUACGUAGGUGGCAAGCGUUAUCCGGAAUUAUUGGGCGUAAAGCGCGCGCAGGUGGUUUCUUAAGUCUGAUGUGAAAGCCCACGGCUCAACCGUGGAGGGUCAUUGGAAACUGGGAGACUUGAGUGCAGAAGAGGAAAGUGGAAUUCCAUGUGUAGCGGUGAAAUGCGU